GUUUGAGGUUUUGCUCUGGACGGGCCCGUUGUCUCUAUUGUCGGUUGAGGGUGGGGAGCUCAAACUGUGAGGUUCAGCUUUCAGGUCUUUAGUAGGCAUAGAUCUGCCAUCUCUUGGUGGUAAGGGUGUAACUUUUCUACUACGCUGCUCAGGAGCUCCUUGUCUACCACGCUGCUCUGCUUGUGGUGUCUCCCUUGAGUUUGUAG